AGUCACGCGGCUCUAGAGGAUGCGAUGACUGGGGGAUGCCGCGCCGAAGGAUUCGGCUCGGGCCUGUUUGAGUCGGCUCGAAGAAACGAGCAUUCGACUCUAAGGAGAUGCUGCGCUGGAGGAUCCGGCUCGGGCCUGGCAGAGUUGGCGCGAAGAGACGAAGCAGACGACCAGCCGACUCUUAGG